rnacentral:rRNA from 1 species
GACGAACGCUGGCGGCGCGCUUAACACAUGCAAGUCGAGCGAGAACCGGUCCUUCGGGACCGGGGAAAGCGGCGAACGGGUGAGUAACACGUGGGUAAUCUGCCCUCGGUUUCGGGAUAGCCCGGGGAAACCCGGAUUAAUACCGAAUGGCCCUUUCGGUCUUCGGAUUGAAAGGAAAAGGUAGCUUCGGCCUCCGACCGAGGAUGAGCCCGCGGCGGAUUAGCUUGUUGGUGGGGUAACGGCCUACCAAGGCGACGAUCCGUAGCUGGUCUGGGAGGCCGACAAGCCACACUGGGACUGAGACGCGGCCAAGACUCCUACGGGAGGCAGCAGUGGGGAAUCUUGCGCAAUGGGCGAAAGCCUGACGCAGCGACGCCGCGUGCGGGAAGAAGGCCGUCGGGUUGUAAACCGCUUUCAGGUGGGACGAAGCCACUCGGGUGAAUAGCCCAGAGGGUGACGGUACCUCCAGAAGAAGUCCCGGCUAACUACGUGCCAGCAGCCGCAGUAA